rnacentral:misc_RNA from 1 species
UUUCCGUGGGUGAACCUGCGGAAGGAUCAUUCAUAACAAGUGUUUUACUGCACUUUUUAAAAAUAGUACUCACCUUGUGUGCAAUGUUGUGUUUCUUUUCGGAGAAACACCUACACCAACCUAUAACCUUGAACCACUUUGUCUGAAAAACUAUUAUGAAUACUUAAUUCAGAAUACAACUUUCAACAACGGAUCUCUUGGCUCUCGCAUCGAUGAAAACGCAGC